CAGUUUCUUACAAAAACUCAACGAGUAAAGUCUUCUUAUUUGGGAUUUUACACAAAUACACCGCUAGAAAUUGGACUCUUGUCAAGUGUAGUUGGUCAACUUGGUAAAAUGGUAUUUCAGUUGUUUUAAGUGGAAUUUUUCCCUGUUGCUGCCACGGCUGAUGUUUUUGCUGCUGUUGCUCCGCCGCCUGGCAGACAAUUUAAAAAGAUAAUAGCAUUUUUUUGCACUGCCCCCGCUCCACCCACUCCUCCGCUCUUUGGCGGGCAUUAAUGGCAACGACGGCGAGGCGUACAACAAGUGCAACAAGGAUUACCGGGAGCCACAAAGUUGCCCGGAUCCGGGGAUCUGCGUGCUCGGAACCAUCUGGCAGCUGCAGACGAGCAGGCGAACCGACAGGGAGACGAGUUAUUGCAGCCACUGGCCCGCAACGGACUCCGCAUGGGAGUCCUCGGGGUGAAGUCCUGGUCCUGGUUCUGGCGCGCCUCCUACUCCAAUCCUCGUUGUCCUGCGACAGGAGCAAUUCGCGCUUUGUGCGAGGACAUGGCCAAAAUUAGCAUUUGA
ensembl:ncRNA lncRNA:CR45570 long non-coding RNA:CR45570